GUAAGCAGUUUUGAGAUUACGUUGUUUAGUGAUAAAUCAUGAAUACUUCAUCAAAUGUCAAACUGUGUUCUUGCUUCUUAUGUAAAUGGAGGAGUGUGAAGCACAGCGAAAAUAGGAAGGAUAGAAAUCUAGGGAAUAUUAAAUUUAUGAAAUAACAUAAAUAACAUUUCUCUUUACAGGUGUACUUGCAAAACCAUCAGUUACAACAAUCAAUCAAAAUAAUGACUGGGCCCAGCUGUGGUGUGAAGUUGCAGGUGCUUCUCCAAAGCCCUCUGUAGAAUGGCAUGAUAGUUCUGGAAACAAGCUUUUGGAUAAAGUAGUUAACAGCAGUCAAGCCAACUUCAUCCUGGAGACCAUUGUAUACAAAGCAGCUAACUAUACAUGCAUAGCUACACAAAGGGAACUUCGCCAUAAGUUUAGUAGACGUACAUAUAUACAUAUUGCAGGGUCAAAGAGCAGAGCAGAAGGAAGAAAAGCGAUCAAAUUCUUCUUAUUGCUGCUGUUGGUAGUGGUGGACUUGUUGUUGCCUUAGUAUGUGUUUCCCGCUGCCAUCAUUUUAAGAUCUCCCAGGUAAAAUUACCAGGUGAAAGAACCAGCGUCGAGGGCAGACCUCUGAUAUUUUGUUCCUUAAUAUUGUUAAUAGAUAUUUGUUGGAGCAUAAUUCAUAGUACAAGAAAAGUAAUUAAACAGAAGUAUGUUUUUUUUUUACAUUUUAUUUAGAACAAUGAAAAUCAUAUGCCGCUUAAAGAUAUCUGAUUAACUUCACUGCAUAAUUUCAUACACUUUGACCUCAGUAUCUUCAUACUACUUAAAUUAGGUUAAUAUAUAAAGUGAAAGUACAAGAACUAAAUCAAACACCAUGUUGUGAUGAAGUUACAACAUGGUUAAUCACCAUUAAUCUCACAUUAAUGGUUUCUUAAUGUCAUUUGAUUGCUUUUAACAACAUAUUGCCAUUUAUUAUUAUUCUAGGUAGUAAAAUCUGAGUGUUUUUCUGCUUGUAUCACAAAAGUGAUAAAGAGUGAGAAAUCAACUCGCAUGUGAAUACUGUGAUGGAAAAAUUACAUUAAGGUCACAUCUGCUAGUCAUGUUAUAUGAAAUGCUUGUGAACUCUCACCAAAAGAACUAUUUGGGUUGCAUGUAGAAGGUUGGAAGUUGUUUUCUACAGCUGCAUCAGAACCAGACUGUCUCAGCCCUUGUUGUUAAUUCUUUAUCUUUGAUAUGAAACUCUGCCUGACAGAGCUUUUCAUCCAGACCUGCUUCAUUACUGAUUGUCCUAUGAGCUAUCUGUAUUGUGCACAAUAUAUGAAUAAACCUGAUUGAGUGAUUUCACCUGAACAGUGCUUGGAAAUAUUAUUUUUUCCACGACAAUACAGAUGUAACUUCUCUGUUUAUUUUUUAUCAAACUUCUUUUUACUUGUUGCACAUUUUAGUGAGAUGUGUAAUAGUUUGUUCUUUGUCCGCUACAGAAAGUAAGAUUUUUAAAAUCUUUUUUACUGCUUUUUUAUUUUGGUGUGUUUAACUAAAGAAUUUCAGUAUCCAUGAAUGUUUUAAUUUACAAGAAUAAAGUUUGCAAAUAAACUGCUAUUGCUGAACAUAUUCCAAAUGUAAUAUCCAUAGAAGCCAUUGUAUUGGAUUUCCUAUUCUUUAUUAUUCCAUAGUCAAAGCUUUUGUCUGCAGUUAUCAAUGAUUAUUUUGUCUCGAAUAAUGCCUUUCAAUCACUGAUUUUUUUUUAAAUUCACUUACUUGAAUUUAUAUAUGAGGGCAUUGUGUUACAGUAACUCCAAUCUUUAAUAUAUUUGUAAAUAUGGAUUAAAUAAUUUUUGUUCAUUAGUUUGUUUUUUUAAUUUGCAAGAUAAAUUGUUUGUCUGAAUUUGCUAUAUUUACUAGAGCUGCCAUGACUUUCCAUUAUAGUCGUUUUGAAAAUGUGUUUUUUUUUUUAUGUAAUUGUUGAUGCAAAUUUAGAUAACCAGCUUUUCAGGUGGAAGAAGAGCUGUAAAGAUUUUUCAGUGCUUAUUUUGCUGCAUUGUUAUGGAAUUAAAAACUGUAGCUAACA